rnacentral:snRNA from 1 species
AUAACCUUCGGGGAUAUCCGAUAAAAUUGGAAUGAUAUAGAGAAGAUUAGCAUGGCCUGGCCCAUGCGCAAGGAUGACACGCACAAAUCGAGAAAUUGUUCAAAUACUU